GACUAUGACUUAGGACACUGCCUAUGCCCCCUCCCCCUAUUUUCUUUUGCAGAUACCCAGAUGGAAAAUGCUCCCCCCACCCAUUAUUUUCACAAUUCAGUGGGAUGACGAAUGACACAGCCAUCCAAGCAGAGAACCAAUGUUCCAUCUCUUUACCUGAGUUCCAAGGGAAGAGACUACGUGGAUAGAAUUCUGUAUCGGCAACUACAGCUGCAUCUUCUUAGAGAUAAUGAAGGACAGUUCUAGAACACAUCACUGAAACUCUUCUCAAUGGAUGCAACCUUGAUAUGGAAGCAAUGGGCACCCUCACAAAGUUCAGCUAGAAAGUCAAGUAUUCCUAGAAUACAUCAUCCUGCAGAGAAAAAUUUGUUUAAAGGCAGCAUUUUGCUCUGUGACCUCAGUUGCUGGAUGGAUCUAAGAAGAGUUGUUGGCUUUCAGAUUGCGUGGUGAUGACUUCCAAGCUCUUUACUUGUCAGAACUAAAAUUGACUUGUGUGUUAAACUACAAGUGGAGACAGAUGUGAAGUCAGCAUGCAAUGGAAGAAUGAGCUCCCGCAUUCAAACUGGGCGUGUAGGAGAAGCCGCUUUUAGUGAUAAGGCCAGUGAUUUAAACUAUGGGGCAGCCACCCCAAAUCUUUCUGGUAUUGAAGUCAGCGCUGGGAUGCAGGGUGCCCCUUUACUGAGGCCCUCUCACAGAUGAGGACCACCUACCAUAAAAUAGUCC
rnacentral:lncRNA from 1 species